rnacentral:rRNA from 1 species
CCUACGGGAGGCAGCAGUGAGGAAUAUUGGUCAAUGGACGGAAGUCUGAACCAGCCAAGUAGCGUGCAGGAUGACGGCCCUAUGGGUUGUAAACUGCUUUUAUGCGGGGAUAAAGUUAGUCACGUGUGACUAUUUGCAGGUACCGCAUGAAUAAGGACCGGCUAAUUCCGUGCCAGCAGCCGCGGUAAUACGGAAGGUCCUGGCGUUAUCCGGAUUUAUUGGGUUUAAAGGGAGCGUAGGCCGUGGAUUAAGCGUGUUGUGAAAUGUAGACGCUCAACGUCUGACUUGCAGCGCGAACUGGUUCACUUGAGUGUGCGCAACGCAGGCGGAAUUCGUGGUGUAGCGGUGAAAUGCUUAGAUAUCACGAAGAACUCCGAUUGCGAAGGCAGCUUGCGGGAGCACAACUGACGCUGAAGCUCGAAAGUGCGGGUAUCAAACAGGAUUAGAUACCCCAGUAGUC